UACGUAGGGGGCAAGCGUUGUCCGGAUUUAUUGGGCGUAAAGAGCGUGUAGGCGGUCAGGUAGGUCCGUUGUGAAAACUCGAGGCUCAACCUCGAGACGCCGGCUGAAACCCUCUGGCUAGAGUCCGGAAGAGGAGAGCGGAAUUCCUGGUGUAGCGGUGAAAUGCGCAGAUAUCAGGAAGAACACCCGUGGCGAAGGCGGCUCUCUGGGACGUUACUGACGCUGAGACGCGAAAGCGUGGGGAGCAAACAGG
rnacentral:rRNA from 1 species